GAUCAUGGCUCAGGGCGAACGCUGGCGGCGUGCCUAACACAUGCAAGUCGAACGGAACUGUUUUGAAAGAUUUCUUCGGAAUGAAUUUGAUUUAGUUUAGUGGCGGACGGGUGAGUAACGCGUGAGUAACCUGCCUUCAAGAGGGGAGUAACAUUCUGAAAAGAAAUGCUAAUACCGCAUGACAUAUCGGAAUCACAUGGUUUUGUAUAUCAAGAAUUUAUUUCGCUUGUAAGAAUGGACGUCGCCG
rnacentral:rRNA from 1 species